ncrna:Schistosoma mansoni type-P1 twister ribozyme
UACUUAACUCCGCCUGUAGCUCUUCUCGAGUUACUGCCGGUUCCAAGCCCGGGUAAUGGAGGAGGGUUGUG